rnacentral:tRNA from 1 species
UAAGCUACAGUUAGUAGAUAAUACUGCCUUGUCAUGGCUGAGAAUUUAGCUUAA